GGCUGGGUAGCAAAGUGGUUAUGCAGAGGCCUGCAAAGCCUUGGAUGCCGGUUCGAUUCCGGCCUCAGCCUCCA
rnacentral:tRNA from 1 species